UUCCGGUUGAUCCCGCCGGACCUGACUGCUAUCGGAUUGAUACUAAGCCAUGCGAGUCAUUGUAGCAAUACAAGGCAUACGGCUCAGUGACGCGUAGUCAACCUAACCUAUGGACGGGAAUAACCUCGGGAAACUGAGAAUAAUGCCCGAUAGAACAUUAUGCCUGGAAUGGUUUAUGUUCCAAAUGAUUUAUCGCCGUAGGAUGGGACUGCGGCCUAUCAGUUUGUUGGUGAGGUAAUGGCCCACCAAGACUAUUACAGGUACGGGCUCUGAGAGGAGUAGCCCGGAGAUGGGUACUGAGACACGGACCCAGGCCCUAUGGGGCGCAGCAGGCGAGAAAACUUUGCAAUGUGCGAAAGCACGACAAGGUUAAUCCGAGUGGUUUCUGCUAAAGAAACCUUUUGUCAGUCCUAGAAACACUGAUGAAUAAGGGGUGGGCAAGUUCUGGUGUCAGCCGCCGCGGUAAAACCAGCACCUCAAGUGGUCAGGAUGAUUAUUGGGGCCUAAAGCAUUCCGUAGCCGGCUCUGUAAGUUUUCGGUUUAAUCUGUACCUCAACGU
rnacentral:rRNA from 1 species